GUUAAGAUGGCAGAGCCAGGUAAUUGCAAAAGACCUAAGCCCUUUAAAUCAGGGGUUCAAUUCCUCUUCUUAACU
rnacentral:tRNA from 1 species